rnacentral:rRNA from 1 species
UANNCGNANGANNNAACUAACANGGAUUCCCCUAGUACUGCGAGUGAAGCGGGAAAAGCUCAAAUUAAAAUCUGGUGGUCUUUGNCCGUCCGAGUUGUAAUUUAGAGAAGCGUCUUNCGCGCUGGACCGUGCNCAAGUCUCCUGGAACGGAGCGUCGUAGAGGGUGAGAAUCCCGUCUUUGGCAUGGACACACCAGGGCUUUUGCGAUGCGCUCUCGAAGAGUCGAGUUGUUUGGGAAUGCAGCUCAAAAUGGGUGGUGAACUCCAUCUAAAGCUAAAUAUUGGCGAGAGACCGAUAGCGANCAAGUNCCGUGAGGGAAAGAUGAAAAGCACUUUGGAAAGAGAGUGAAACAGUACGUGAAAUUGUUGAAAGGGAANCGCUNGAAGUCAGUCGCGUCGUCCGAGACUCAGCCUCGCCUCGGCUUGGCGUACUUCUCGGCCCGNCGGGUCAGCAUCAAUUUCGCCUCUCGGACAAUGGCGAGGGAAAAGUGACACCUUUACGGUGUGUUAUAGUCUCUCGUCGCAUGCGAGGGUCGGGAUUGAGGAACUCAGCACGCGCCCUCGGGCGUCGGGGCUUUCGCCCACGAUACGUGCUUAGGAUGUUGGCGUAAUGGCUUUAAACGACC